GAUGAACGCUGGCGGCGUGCCUAAUACAUGCAAGUCGAGCGAACGGACGAGAAGCUUGCUUCUCUGAUGUUAGCGGCGGACGGGUGAGUAACACGUGGAUAACCUACUUAUAAGACUGGGAUAACUUCGGGAAACCGGAGCUAAUACCGGAUAAUAUUUUGAACCGCAUGGUUCAAAAGUAAAAGACGGCCUUGCUGUCACUUAUAGAUGGAUCCGCGCUGCAUUAGCUAGUUGGUAAGGUAACGGCUUACCAAGGCAACGAUGCAUAGCCGACCUGAGAGGGUGAUCGGCCACACUGGAACUGAGACACGGUCCAGACUCCUACGGGAGGCAGCAGUAGGGAAUCUUCCGCAAUGGGCGAAAGCCUGACGGGGCAACGCCGCGUGAGUGAUGAAGGUCUUCGGAUCGUAAAACUCUGUUAUUAGGGAAGAACAUAUGUGUAAGUAACUGUGCACAUCUUGACGGUACCUAAUCAGAAAGCCACGGCUAACUACGUG
rnacentral:rRNA from 1 species